rnacentral:rRNA from 1 species
UUUUGGACAAUGGGGGAUACCCUGGUCCAGCCAUCCCGCGUGUAUGAUGAAGGCCUUCGGGUUGUAAAGUACUUUUGGCAGUGAAGAAAAGGUACCUCCUAAUACGAGGUACUGCUGACGGUAUCUGCAGACUAAGCACCGGCUAACUACGUGCCAGCAGCCGCGGUUAUAUGUAUGGUGCAAGCGUUAAUCGGAAUUACUGGGCGUUAAGCGAGUGUAGGCGGUUCGGAAAGAAAGAUAUGAAAUCCCAGGGCUCGACCAUGGAACUGAAUUUUUAACUGACGAGCUAGAGUAUGUCAGAGGGGGGUAGAAUUCCGCGUGUAGCAGUGAAAUGCAUAGAUAUGUGGAGGAAUACCGAUGGCGAAGGCAGCCCCCUGGGAUAAUACUGACGCUCAGACACAAAAGCGUGGGGAGCAAACA